AACCAAACAUAAUUCUCCAAAUCUCUCGUGUACUAUUUUGGCAUGUAGAAAUUGUAGAAUCUCAUUUGCAUAUAUAUGUAUAGAACCUCCCAAUGAAUGAUGUAUUUUUUGGGUUCAUGCUCUAUUUCAUGUCGUUGAGUUUUUUUCUUGAUUUAUUUUCAUGUUUUGGCUUUAUGGUCCAGUUCCAUAGGUUACCUUAUAUUCCAGCUUGCCCUAGGUUGUGCCACCACCAUUGCAACUAUACUCCACCCAAUGGUGGCUGGGAUGAGGAAGGUAGGAGUACGGGCGAAAAAGAGGCGGGGAUGGUGAAAUGGCCAUCGGGAGAGGGGGGUCUAGUGAGGGAGGGUGGUGCCCAAGGGAAAAGUAGGGAGGUUUUCUCUAAGCACAACGGCAGCGGUGUCAGUGCCCUUGUGGUGAAGGCAGCGACGAGGGACCUUCCCAAGAUCCAGGACAUAUGCCUUGCCGCCUCAUUUCUGGCGUUGUGGGCACAUAUAAGAUCAUCUUUAAUUGGGAUUCAGAGUAAUGUCUAACUGCCAUGGAACUAUCACUGCAGGAGGUGUGAUGUGAUUACUAAAGGUAGACAAGGCCUGAACGAGUUCUCCAUUUAUCUGAGCAACCAUUGCUUAUGAAUAUCCCAUAUGCUGCAAUUAUAAAAUCUUUUUGGGUAAUUAACUCAUCAAGAAUUCCUUUUGGUUUAAACAUUUAGUCCUAUGCAUGUGUAUGUGUUUGCUCACA